rnacentral:rRNA from 1 species
GACGUAGGGCGCAAGCGUUGUCCGGAAUUAUUGGGCGUAAAGAGCUCGUAGGCGGUCUGUUGCGUCCGCUGUGAAAACUCGGGGCUUAACCCCGAGCCUGCAGUGGAUACGGGCAGACUAGAGGUAGGUAGGGGAGAAUGGAAUUCCCGGUGUAGCGGUGAAAUGCGCAGAUAUCGGGAGGAACACCGGUGGCGAAGGCAGGUCUCUGGGCUGACACUGACGCUCAUGCACGAAAGCGUGGGGAGCAAACAGG